AAACCAGCACCUCAAGUGGUCAGGAUGAUUAUUGGGCCUAAAGCAUCCGUAGCCGGCUCUGUAAGUUUUCGGUUAAAUCUAUAUGCUCAACAUAUAGGCUGCCGGGAAUACUGCACAGCUAGGGAGUGGGAGAGGUAGACGGUACUCGGUAGGAAGGGGUAAAAUCCUUUGAUCUAUUGAGGACCACCUGUGGCGAAGGCGGUCUACCAGAACACGUUCGACGGUGAGGGAUGAAAGCUGGGGGAGCAAACCGGAUUAGAAACCCGUGUAGUCC
rnacentral:rRNA from 1 species